rnacentral:tRNA from 1 species
GAGGGUAUAACUCAAGUGGUAGAGUGUGUGACUAGCAUGCACCAGGUCCUGGGCUCAAUCCCCACUACCUCCU